rnacentral:rRNA from 1 species
CUACGGGUCGCUCCAGUGAGGAAUAUUGCACAAUGGGGGGAACCCUGAUGCAGCAACACCGCGUGGAGGAUGACGCAUUUCGGUGUGUAAACUCCUUUUAUAUGUCAAGGAAAUGACGGUAGCAUAUGAAUAAGCACCGGCUAACUCCGUGCCAGCAGCCGCGGUAAUACGGAGGGUGCAAGCGUUACUCGGAAUCACUGGGCGUAAAGGACGCGUAGGCGGGUUGGAAAGUCAGGUGUGAAAUCCUACAGCUUAACUGUAGAACUGCACUUGAAACUUCUAAUCUAGAGUAUGGGAGGGGGAGAUGGAAUUAGUGGUGUAGGGGUAAAAUCCGUAGAUAUCACUAGGAAUACCUAAAGCGAAGGCGAUCUCCUGGAACAUUACUGACGCUAAGGCGUGAAAGCGUGGGGAGCAAACAGGAUUAGAUACCCUUGUAGUC